AGAAUCAGUUGGGACUUGCUUGGGGCAAUUUUGGACCUGAUAAAUGGGCCACUAAAUGACUUAACCUUUUGUAUAUGUAUAUAGUUAACCCAACAAGUCACAUAUAUCCUUCCAUUGCACACACACAAUUGCCUUAAUUGAGCAUCACAUCAGGCAUUUCUUUUAAUGAUGUAUAUGAUGCAUGUUUUAACUUUUAAUUUGAUCAAGAUUAGUGCAUGCUUAGAUAAUAAAAUGAGUGAAUGAUGAUUUACAAGGGGCGUAUAUCCAAUCAUAAUCCAGACUCUGAACCUGAAGGGAUCCAAUUGGUUGUAUAGGUUGCAAAAGUGGCCACGGUUAUGAAGAUCACUUGGGUAUAAGAGUCAAAGAUACUUCAUGUCUAUCAUGCGAAUUGCAUAAGGUUGCAUUUGGGCCCAUACCAUAGUGAGUAAUGAUCGGACAGAAGUAGGUUGGUGCUUUGGCGGGGCCCAGAUGGUGAUAGGUGAUUGGUGCAAUUAGCAAAUUUAGGAAUGAAACUUCUCG